rnacentral:siRNA from 1 species
UGACAAGCUUCAGAGCCUUCU